rnacentral:rRNA from 1 species
CUACGGGCGCAGCAGUGGGGAAUAUUGCACAAUGGGGGAAACCCUGAUGCAGCGACGCCGCGUGAGUGAGGAAGUAUUUCGGUAUGUAAAGCUCUAUCAGCCGGGAAGAAAAUGACGGUACCUGACUAAGAAGCCCCGGCUAACUACGUGCCAGCAGCCGCGGUAAUACGUAGGGGGCAAGCGUUAUCCGGAUUUACUGGGUGUAAAGGGAGCGUAGACGGAUAAGCAAGUCUGAUGUGAAAAUCCGGGGCCCAACCCCGGAAUUGCAUUGGAAACUGCAUAUCUAGAGUGUCGGAGAGGCAAGG